rnacentral:rRNA from 1 species
CCUACGGGAGGCAGCAGUGAGGAAUAUUGGUCAAUGGGCGCUAGCCUGAACCAGCCAAGUAGCGUGAAGGAUGACUGCCCUAUGGGUUGUAAACUUCUUUUAUAGGGGAAUAAAGUGCAGUAGGUAUACGGCUUUGCAUGUACCUUAUGAAUAAGGAUCGGCUAACUCCGUGCCAGCAGCCGCGGUAAUACGGAGGAUCCGAGCGUUAUCCGGAUUUAUUGGGUUGAAAGGGAGCGUAGGCGGGUUGUUAAGUCAGUUGUGAAAGUUUGCGGCUCAACCGUAAAAUUGCAGUUGAUACUGGCAUCCUUGCGUUCCGUAGUGUUCGGCGUACUUCUUGGUGUCGUGG